UGAUCCUGGCUCAGGAUGAACGCUAGCGGCAGGCUUAACACAUGCAAGUCGAGGGGUAUGAGUCUUCGGAUCCAGAGACCGGCGCACGGGUGCGUAACGCGUAUGCAAUCUACCUUUUACAGAGGGAUAGCCCAGAGAAAUUUGGAUUAAUACCUCAUAGCAUAGCAGCUUCGCAUGAAGCCACUAUUAAAGUCACAACGGUAAAAGAUGAGCAUGCGUCCCAUUAGCUAGUUGGUAAGGUAACGGCUUACCAAGGCUACGAUGGGUAGGGGUCCUGAGAGGGAGAUCCCCCACACUGGUACUGAGACACGGACCAGACUCCUACGGGAGGCAGCAGUGAGGAAUAUUGGACAAUGGGCGCAAGCCUGAUCCAGCCAUGCCGCGUGCAGGAUGACGGUCCUAUGGAUUGUAAACUGCUUUUAUACGAGAAGAAACACUCCUUCGUGAAGGAGCUUGACGGUAUCGUAAGAAUAAGGAUCG
rnacentral:rRNA from 1 species